rnacentral:lncRNA from 1 species
CCUGCAGCGACAACUUAAAGACCGGAAUGUUCGGACCCGCCAGGGGUGCUUCAACCUCUUUACCGAGCUGGCAGGCGUCCUCCCUGGCUGCCUGGCAGAGCACAUGACUGUCUUGGUGUCAGGCAUUGUCUUUUCACUGGCUGACUACUCCAGCUCCUCCACCAUACGGAUGGAUGCCCUGGCCUUCCUACAGGGCCUUCUGGGUACACAGCCCCAGUGUCAAAGCUGGGCCCAUUAACUCAGGACAUUCAUGAGGGUGAUGUCCCACCACCUUUACACUGCACCCCUCCACUCACUUAAAAGCCAGCAUUGAUUGCCCUGUGCAUAAGACCGGAAGACAAGCAGGGGGUUGACUUCCUACUUCACUUGCUCUGGCCUCCAAAUGUCAAUUAGCACCCUGGGCCUGGCCAUGGGUAGGGUAUGUAGAACCCAUGCAAGCUCUAGGUCUUGGCACAAGAGAACCAAUUUAUACUGAAUGCCUCACUAAUUAGAGUAAAAACUGUUUACAGGGAAGAUGGUAUGGAUCAUUGGACUGUCCACUGUUUUAAACAUCCCUAUUCUCAUGGCCCAGGCAUGUAACAGUGUUGGUUUGUGCUCUUCCCAUGUGUGUAGUUGUUAGUACUGAAAAUUUAAGUAUAAAUAACAGUCCAGGGUUUCGAUUU